rnacentral:rRNA from 1 species
UACGGAGGGGGCGAGCGUUAUUCGGAAUUAUUGGGCGUAAAGCGCACGUAGGCGGUUCGUUAAGUCGGAUGUGAAAGCCCUCGGCUCAACUGAGGAAGUGCACCCGAAACUGGCGAGCUUGAGUACGAAAGAGGAUCGCGGAAUUCCCGGUGUAGAGGUGAAAUUCGUAGAUAUCGGGAGGAACACCGGUGGCGAAGGCGGCGAUCUGGGUCGAUACUGACGCUGAGGUGCGAAAGCGUGGGGAGCAAACAGG